GGAUAGCCUAAGUUUGUACGCGGAAAUAAGACUUCUGAUACCAUAAGGAUAUUUAACAGAUAAAGGCAUAUCAUAAUCCAAAGGCUGAAGCCUGAAGCUAGAGAAAUUGAGAAAAAUAAGGCACAUGGAAAAAAAAAAAAAAAGUCACAUAAAUAUGGUUACAUAUGCAACUAUUAGCCUAGGUAUGUGGUAGAAUCUUUAUAAUUUCAUAGAUUUAAAACUAGAUAAUAUAUUUUUCAAAAAGAGGAGAUAUAACUUGCCUAUAAAUUAGGAAUUUGUCUGAAAUGACUGAAUAUAAUUUUACGGUCUAGAUUAUGAAAGAAAUCAGCCAAAGCAGUUGUGACAGGUAUUAUGACAUCAGGAAGGAAAGAAGCUGCCAAGACAGGACCCUCUGCUCUCCUCUGAGGGAGAACAGAAUCUUCUCUGGAAGUAGUUGAGUGUGCCCAGGUGGAAAAUGUCUCCUCUGGAAAUGGCCCUGGGCAACUGGCUCUAGCUGGCCCUGUUUGAGCAGAGGGGUCGGAUCAGAUGAUGUCCUGAAGUCCCUUCCAACCUCAACCAUUUUGUGAGAGGUUUCAACAGUAUCAGGCCGGAACAGGGAGGGAGAAACAAGGAAGAAACAUGAAGCUAUAGUCAAGGAAGGCUUCUUGCAGCAAAGAUAAGAUCCUAGCCCAAGUCUCGGUGACGACAGUUAGGAAAAGACCUUUUGAGAGACCUGGUGGAGUCUGAAACAUAAGUAGCAACUGGAAGCUGCAAGAUUUUUCAGGAAAAUGGGAUGGAAAGACUUACCCUGCAAGGGUACAGUGGAUGGUUUUCGGUAAAUCAUCAUUCAAGGCACUUCUCAACUGUCUCAAAAUUACAAAGACAUGUUAAGAAAGAUUUUAACUUCAGAGAAAAGGAGGAGUCAAAUCCUGCGUUGGAGUAAACUUUAAAGUUCCCUAAAGGUAAAUGAAGUAUCUGUUACAUAGGAAGAGUUCCUUAAAGAAAUAACCUCUAUUCUAAGUUCUGGGAAAUGGAACAAUAUUGCAAUAGGAGAGACAAGCUGAAUGUUGCUGAUGAAUGUCUCAGCAAGUGGUCCUAAAACAGUUCGUAGGAUGGAUUCCAUAUGAAAGAAAGAAGAGAAAGAAAAACAAUGGUAAAUGUUCGGAAUUUUUUCUUCAUUGUGUAUUUCUUUGUGUCGUUCAUGAAACAAUAGAACAUGCGGCAAGCUGUCUGUAGUAUGGCAGUAUGGUUAUAUACACGCAUUUUUCUAUCCAUAAGAAGACAAAGAAAAGUAUGCCUUUUAAUAGAUAAGGACAUACACAUUUUGACACUAUUAAUCUUAGCAUUGUUCCUCUAAGCCUGGACUGGACUGAUGUUUUACUGAAUUCUACAAAUCCAGCACUA